UACGUAGGGGGCUAGCGUUGUCCGGAUUUAUUGGGCGUAAAGAGCGUGUAGGCGGCCAGGUAGGUCUGGUGUGAAAACUCGAGGCUUAACCUUGAGAUGUCAUCGGAAACCAUUUGGCUAGAGUCCGGAAGAGGAAAGUGGAAUUCCUGGUGUAGCGGUGAAAUGCGCAGAUAUCAGGAAGAACACCAGUGGCGAAGGCGACUUCCUGGCCUGUUCUUGACGCUGAGGCGCGAAAGCUAGGGUAGCAAACGGG
rnacentral:rRNA from 1 species